CUCAUGUCUCUCUCAUCACUCUCCCUCAUGUUUCCUAUCUCUCUCACGUUUCCUCUCUCACACACAUUACCCUCAUUUCCAUCAUCACACUCCAUCAACGUCUCUCUGCUACAAAAGAAAGCAAAUGAAAAGAAAAAGACCGACUGCUCUCUCUCUCAAAAAGAAGAAAAAGAAAACUAAAAAGAGAGGACAAUAAAAAGAAUCCUCACUCACUUUCCUCAACAACUCCCUCGCCACUACAACCGCCGGAAAACCCAACCUCCACAACAUCACUCCACUACAUCCAUACAACCUUCACGCACAGUUCCAUAUUCAAACCUUCACCACCCUCACAACCACCUCCUUUGCUCACUUCCCUCCCUCCACCUUCCAUUGACGUCACGAAUUCCAUCACCUUCUUCAACGUCUUCUCCCCACUCAUCCACCACCGCAAACCGUAAAUCACCUUCACCGGUGACGAAACCUCUUCACUUCGUCGUCGUCCCCAAAUCACCUCCUUCUCCACCUCCGUCACCUUCGCAACUCACAACCACCAUUUUUCACAAAUCGAACCACCACACCACACGCCAGCGAGCGCUCAAAGCCUUCAAACAAUCCCUCGCCACGUCUCCUUCCGCGCCGCCGCGAUUUCUGAGCGUCGCCGAGUCAUCGCGCCGCCGUCAUCUUCCGAUGAAGCUUAACCGUCCGAAUCCACAAACCCAACCUUCCUCAACCAAUAACGACGGCCUCGCAUCUCCCAUUUUUUAGUAGAGAGUGCUGCGAAGGGUUUUUUAUUAAAUCAGUUCGAGAUCGUGGUACAUGAUGGUGUAAACGGAACACGGAGCAGCCACGAAGCAUCGACCGACACACAGCAGUAGCGAGUUCAACACAACACGAUAACAGUCGCCAGCGGUAACGAAUCGAUACUUACCAUAUUGUUCAAUGUUAAUUUUUUUUAUACAUAAAUAAUUGGAUUAUAUUUCUCAUUCAUCGUGUAUUUCAGUAUUGGUUGAAUGGCGGGGUUACCGCGAUUAUUUUCUACUGCGGUUGUUGCCAAUUUUCUUCCACAUAUGUGUUGGAUUGUUAUCAGAAAGCGUUGAAUGGUCUUAGUUUACAUUACAUCCCGACUAUUGUAUGAUUUGAGUUCAUUGCAUUAUGUUUAGAUUUUAAAAUAUGUUUCAUGUGUUUGAAAGUUUGUAAUGAUAUGGUAUGUAUCGUGCUACUGCUAAUUGAUUGUGGCGUCGAAGUCGGAUAUUGCGUGAUGAACGUUUGAAACCGUCAUUUAUACAUGUUUAGAGGGCGCGGCGUUUUUAUUGAUCAUAUUAUACUUUAUUUCAUAUGGCGAUGCGGUAUUUUGAGGUUACCACCAUGUAUUUCUCCUGCUAUUGAUGCUAGCAGGACGUGACUGGGUUUAAUCCAUAACCUCCCAUGUAGGAUUUUGCAUGCUUUGUAGGAAUUUAUGGAUUUUGAAUAAGUUUUGUUUUCUUAUGGAAGCAAUUUAGGUUAGUUGUUAUAGCAGGGUAGGUUAUAUGUUAAUCCUGUUCUUAAUAAUCAUUACUAAAACGUUAAAGUAGCAAUGGCAAAUUUAUGGAUUUUGAAUAAGUUUUGUUUUCUUAUGGAAGCAAUUUAGGUUAGUUGUUAUAGCAGGGUAGGUUAUAUGUUAAUCCUGUUCUUAAUAAUCAUUACUAAAACGUUAAAGUAGCAAUGGCAAAAUAACAAUGAUUGGAAACGUCUCAAGGUGAUAAGCGGCGGAUGCGGUGUGUACUGUUCCAACUUUAUUUAUUUUACAUAUUACAUUUAUGCACUUUUGAGUUUUCUUAUAUAUGACAAAUAGUAAACAAUAUUGUAAAUAAAUUUGUAAAUAAAUAAUAUGAUAAAAAAUUUGUAUUACCAAUAUUUAAUUUCAUUAACAAAACACAAAUUUAAAACCUCGAUCCAAUAUCGAGUAUUGUCAUUCAAAAUUAAAUAAACAUCCAAUCACAAUCAAAUACCAUUUCAUUUGGGAAAUGAAAAGGGGGAUGACUUUGAGUUUUCAAUUCCUCUCCUAAAUUAUUUGAAUACGAGUUCCCUUACUCGGUUAGUCAGAUAGUCGUUAUUUCUAAUCCACCUAAGCACAAAACAAAUCGAAUCAUUUUAUAAAAAGAAACAAAGAGGGAGAUGACUUUGAGUCUUCAAUUUUUCUCCUCGAUUAUUUGAAUACAAGUUCUCUUACUUGGUUAGUCAAAUGAUUGUCGUUCCUCUACCAAUUUCCAAACCCCGAUUAAAUUAAAACACUUUCAUAAUAAGCUAAAUGAAAAGGGAGAUGACUUUGAGUUUUCAACUUCUCUCCUCAAUUGUUUGAAUACGAGUUCUCUUGCUCGGCCAAUCGAAUAAUUGUCAUUUUCCGCCCACUUAUACCGUAGAUCAAAUCAUUUCCAUAACAAACUAUACGAAAAGGGAGAUGAUCUUGAAUUUUCAAUUCCUCUUCUCAAAUGCUUGGAUAUGAGUUGUCUUACUCAGCCAUUCGAAUACUUGUCGUUCAUUCUAAAACAUAUCAACCAUACAUAAACCUAUUUUCAUAAAUACUCAGAUGAAACAGAAAGCGGUCUAGAGCCUUAUAUUCCUUUUCCCGAUUAUUAGGAUACGAGUUGUCUUACUCGAUUAUCCGAGUAUUCGUCAUCCAUUCAAAACACCUUAAUUAUUAUCAAAUACUUUUUAUAAUUAAGGAUGAAAAAAAGGGUGGUCUAGAGUCUUUUAUUCCCUUUCCCGACUGUUAGGAUACAAGUUGUCUUACUCAACUAUCCGAGUAAUCGUCAUCCAACCAAAAAUAUCUUAACCUAUCAAGUUUAUCCUUUCUCUCCCUCGUGUGAUCGAAACCAGUCAAACAAAACAUCCAACAUAGUAAUCCAACUUGUCACCCUCGUGUGAUCAAAACUCUUUUCAGAAAGAACACUAUUUAAUCCUUUCUAAUGCGCAUAACAAACCAAUGCUUAAGCCUCCGCCGAGAGUAGACAAGCCAACGUUUAGCCUUUAGAACGGGAUCUAAACAGUUGUUCAUUAAAAAACACCAACCAACCAUAGUUCUCCGAACUACGAAUGCUCUGAUUUCCUUAUUAUACCAUAAGGAUACGUAGGCAGGAGAUUGUUGUAUCUUCGCGAGCACACUAAUAAAAAACCUCCCCUUUUCGAGGUUCUCAUCCAUUUCUAUUUUUUUAAUUUUAUAACUCAAAGAUAACAAACAAACAUAAAUUAACACCCGAAACGCACAUUAGAACUAAAAGGUUCCCGUUGAGUACAACGGACGUAAGGGGUAUUAAUACCUUCCCCUUACGUAAUCCACUCCCGAACCCGAAUAUGGUUGUGACGACCAUUAUUCCGUUUCCUAAAAGGUUUUAUCGAUAUUUUCCUAUUCCUUCAUUGGGAUAAAUAAAGUUCGGUGGCGACUCUGUUCGAACAUAAUUUUUUCCGCGAUCAUCGCGAGGAACCGUAUUUUUUGAGAUGCGACAGAUGGUGACUCUGCUGGGGACAUUUGCUCCAAGCAAAAGAGAGUGAAGCCUAAUUUAGUUCAGUUUCUGUAUUAUGUGUUAAAUCUUGUUUGUUUGAUUGUUAUUUUUGUUCUAUUAUUAUUAUUCUGUCAUAACUAUUGUAUUGUGAUUUAUUGAUUAUGUCUUAUUUGGGGCUUUCUGUUAAUGGUGCUUUAUGAGAUAGACUCUCUACCCGAGUCUGAGAAAAACCAUAAGACUAAGUUGGUGGUUGCGUAGUGGAUGCCCACAAGGAGUCUUCCUUGUUGGGAAGAAACGAAGACCCCGCCUAGAGGAGAUUCUCUUGAGAUAUUAUUGCCCGACGAGUCUUCGUCACGAUGAUAGUAUUCUCAAGUUGGAUCAAUGACUCUAGGGACCUUUUAACCCACUCUAUCCGGCGGUUAUGUAGUAUUAACCUACAAAGUUUCAAACUUGUUGGGUUAAUACGAAGGCCCCAAUCAGAUGAGAUCUCUUGGACGUAUUACUAUCUUACAGUAACAUUUCCAACCUCUAUCUAGACUCUGAGAACCUUGUUAGAACCCUGGACUCGAGAGUCAUGUAGUAGAAUCCUCAUGGAGUUUUCCUUGUUGGGAUAAUACGAAGACCUCACCUAGACGAGAUCUUCUUAAGGAUAUUAUUGUCCGACCUGGACUCGAGAGUCAUGUAGUAGAAUCCUCAUGGAGUUUUCCUUGUUGGGAUAAUACGAAGACCUCACCUAGACGAGAUCUUCUUAAGGAUAUUAUUGUCCGACGAGUCUUCGUCACGGCAGUGAUGUCCUCAAGAAAUAUCCAUGACUCUGGGAACCUACCAACUGUAGAGCCUGCCCAUGGGGUUACAUUAAUCAGAUAUACCUGUCAUUUACCCGUUAUUCUGAUCUAUCUGAAAACACUUUGAACCUAUGAUCCUGAACAUGUCACUACACUCAUACACAUAUCAUUACAUCUGCAUUCAUCGUGCGUUGCAUAUCACCUUUCACAAAAAAUAUAUACCAAAAAAACUCAUCCGUCCUUUAUCUAAAACCCGUAGUUAAAUUCCCGACACUCAUAUCAGACUUGAAUUAGCUCUCGAAAGAUCAUGGAUCCGUUGGAGCAAAGCCAUAUUGCAUUAAGAGGAGAUGUUGACUCGAUGAAAAACCAGAUAAACCAACUUGUGGAGGAUGUGAUAGCUUUAGAAAAGAGGGAGGACAACAUUCAGCAGACUGCAGACGUAGAGAAUGUUAUUUCAGCUCCAGUAAAUGGUCCUACCCAACCUUAGCUUGUGCGAACCCCAGUUGAUAACUCUAUUGUACAAGAACGUCAUGUUGUUCAAGAUUCCUCACGUCAUGAUGUUGUUGAGUAUCACAGUUUUGCAUUCUCCGUGCCAGAUUCCCAUGGAACAAGCAUAGGGGUUAAUGCUGAACAACCACAAGAUGAUGAGAUUGCUAAAAGAUGUUGCGUGCUAGAGAAAAGACUCAAGGCCAUAGAAGGACAAGAUACUCUUGAACUGAAUGCUUUAGACAUGUGUUUGGUACCUAAAAAGAUGUUGCGUGCUAGAGAAAAGACUCAAGGCCAUAGAAGGACAAGAUACUCUUGAACUGAAUGCUUUAGACAUGUGUUUGGUACCUGGCCUGGUUAUACCCGCAAAAUUCAAAGCACCAGAAUGUGAGAAGUACAAAGGGGAUGGCUGUCUAAAGCACCAUUUGGUGAUGUUUUGUCAAAAAAUGACCUCUCAUGCCCACGAUGAUAAGUUGAUGAUUCACUGUUUCCAGGACAGUUUGACUGGGGCAUCAUUAAGUUGGUACAUGAAGUUAGAAAGGAAUCAUGUUCAAUCAUGGUUAGACCUAGCUAACACAUUCUUGAAGCAAUACAAAUAUAAUAUGGACAUAGCUCCCGACCGCAUGCAGCUAAGAGCCUUAUCUCAGGAAGACAAUGAAUCCUUUAGAGGGUAUGCCCAAAGAUGGAGAGAGUUAGCGGCUGACGUUGAACCACCACUCUUAGACAAAGAAUUGAUGGAAUUAUUCAGGGACACCCUGCAAAGUCCAUACUGUGAAAGGAUGAUUAGCAGCACAGCAUCAGACUUCGCUCACUUAGUGACAAUUGGAGAACGCGUCGAGAGUGUCUUAAAAAGUGGAAGAAUCCAAAGUGCCUCGAGCAACCAAGCUAGCGAGACAGAAUCCCUCAGCAAUUCCCAAAAGGAAGAGGAUGAUGAAAUAAAUGCAGUCAUGACAGGUGUUGGGUAUUCUCACGAUGCACCAGCCAAAUCUUAUGGUUCUUCACCUUCUCAGCAAUCACCAUUUCCAACACCAUGUUAUCCUUAUAGGCAACCGACAAGACCUAGAGCACCAUUCAAGCAACCAUGGACUGUUCCUCCUACAAAUCAAAGAUCUCGUGGUCAAGGAUAUCAGAAUCAGCAUCUGAACCAGCAUAGGCCUCGAAACAAUCUGGAAAGAAGGAAUGCUCCUCUCGAUCCAAUUCCUAUGUCAUACAGUAAACUUCUGCCUUAUCUGAUUCAAAGCUCGCUGGUGGAGCCCAAGUCUCUCAGGCCAUUGUCAGAACCAUACCCACCUGGAUAUGAUCCUGAUGUGCAAUGUGGAUAUCAUGCCGGAACAAUAGGGCAUUCAACUGAAGACUGCAAUGCUUUCAAGGCUAAAGUGCAACAAUUGAUCGACAAAAGGUACAUAUCCUUUUCAGAAGGAAGCCUGUUGGUGCACGUUAACCUCUCGUCAUAAUGAGUUCAAAGAUUUCAUAGAGUAUCUCCUAAUGCCAGUAGUUCAGACAGGAAGACAUCCUCAACACUGGCAAUCGUUGGACUGAUUUGCUUCUAUUUUUGCAUUUGUAGUUUCUUUGUUGUUAAAAGCUGCUUGUGUUUAAAAAUUGUUGUUUUUAAUGGUAAUAUUGAUGAAGUAAUGAUGCAUGUUUUUGAAUUAAUUAUCUCGCAUUCGCUCAUUUUUCUUCUCUUAUAUCAAAAACAAAAAAAAUACAUCAGUGUUUCUCCCAUUCACUUUUCUUUAUCAUAACUUUUGUUUUAGCAAAGAUUUGAGGGAGGAUGACGAAAACAAGAUACCCAUAAUUGCUGACUAUAUGCUUUCAGAUAAAAUCCUGCUGAUGAUGUACAUGCGUUGUUUCAAAUUCUCAAACACUGGAGAGAUAAGGAGUUAAUCCCUAGUCAAACACUUCGAGCCUAGAAGUAGGUGUUUCUUUCGGAUAUACAAACCCUUAUGUUUAACCCGGGGCAUGUAACACCCCGAUAAAAAAUAAGAUAAUUAUUUAAUUUAAGUUAAUAUUAUAUUUAUUAAUUUAAUUAAGUAAUUGGAAUUAUUGGAUUAUUAUUAUUAUAAUUAUUGGAAAGUAUAUAAGUGGGAAAUAAGAAAAGAGUUUUUUUUGGUAAAGAGGGUUUUUUUACGUGAAAAGCAGAGAAACGGCUGAAAAGUGGAGAAAGGGCAAAGAGGAAGAGCAAGAGAGCAAAGGUUGGAGAAUAGAAGAGCUUGAAGCUAAAGACUUGCCGGAUUAAUUCAGGUAAGGGGGGUUUAUCGUCGUUUAAUGGGUAUUAUGGGUUAACAUGUAAUGGGUAGUGAUAAACCGUUGAUUGACCCUAAUUGGGAUUGUUGAAUGCUGAAAAAUUGUGUUGGCUAAGUUGUGUUAAAGCUGUAAUUGAAUCUGUAUUCGAGUGUGUUGUGAUUUUCCGAACGUAGAGCUUUUUACGGAAUUGGAAUCGGAGGUCCGGAAGUCCUCCAACGGCGGAAAAUGCGGAGAAUUCUGCAUUCUGCUUCGUGUUAGCGCAGGAACAGCUUUCUGUCUUGCGUUAACCGGUUAACCCAGGGUGUUAACCGGUUAACACUGUUAUGAAUUGUGAGGUAUUGCUGUUUUGCUUGCGUUAACCGGUUAACCCAGGGCGUUAACCGGUUAACACUGUUGUGAGUUGUGAAAAUAUUGCUGUUCUGUCUGCGUUAACCGGUUAACCCAGGGCGUUAACCGGUUAACACUGUUGAGUUUUGCCAGAAAGCGUGUUCUGUCUGCGUUAACCGGUUAACCCAGGGCGUUAACCGGUUAACACUGUUGGAAACUGAAAAAGAUUGUAUGUUGUCUUGCAUUAACGGAUUAACCCAGGGCGUUACCGGGUUAACGCGGUUGGAAAAGUGAAAAAUCGAAUUUGCUCGGAAUUUAAUGAAAUUCGUCGGGGUGAGUCGGGUAAUAUUAUAGUUAAUUUUGAUGAGUAAUUUUGUUGGGUUUAUGUUAUAAAGUGUCGAUACAAGUAUGACUGAGUUGUUAAGUUGUUCCGGGUACGAAAAGUUGUUAAAGAUACUGAGUUGUAAGCUUGGUGAGCCAAAGUUGAUUAUAAGUUGAUUAUGUUGAAAACAUGGUUGUGUUGCUAUUAUUAUUAUGUUGUCGGAAUUUUAAAUUCGUGUAUGCCAUGUAAAUUCAUAUGCAUUAAGUCGGAGCUUUGCUCACACCAAUGAGAAUUGCUCAGAGUCGUCAGAAGAGUUAUCACGACAAGAGGAGGAAGUCACUUGAGUUUCAAGAGGGAGAUCAUGUGUUUCUUCGUGUUACUCCAAUAACUGGGGUUGGUCGAGCUUUGAAGUCAAAGAAGUUGACACCUCGAUUUAUUGGUCCUUAUCAGAUUUUGGAGAGGAUAGGAGAGGUAGACUAUCGUAUCGCUUUACCGCCGUCACUUGCGAAUUUGCAUGAGGUUUUCCAUGUGUCUCAGUUGAGGAGGUACAUUCCUGAUCCGUCGCAUGUGGUCCAAGUGGAUGAUGUACAGGUGCGAGAUAACCUGACGGUUGAAACAUCACCUAUGAGGAUCGAGGAUCGUGAGUUGAAGCAGUUGCGGGGUAAAGAGAUUGCCUUGGUAAAGGUAGCUUGGGGAGGACCAGCAGGUGGCAAUGUGACUUGGGAACUUGAGAGUCAGAUGAAGGAGUCUUAUCCUGAGUUAUUCUCUUGAGGUAUGUUUUCGAGGACGAAAACUCUUUUAGUGGGGGAGAGUUGUAACACCCCGAUAAAAAAUAAGAUAAUUAUUUAAUUUAAGUUAAUAUUAUAUUUAUUAAUUUAAUUAAGUAAUUGGAAUUAUUGGAUUAUUAUUAUUAUAAUUAUUGGAAAGUAUAUAAGUGGGAGUGCGAGAUAACCUGACGUUGAACCAUCACCUAUGAGGAUCGAGGAUCGGAGUUGAAGCAGUUGCGGGUAAAGAGAUUGCCUUGGUAAGGUAGCUUGGGGAGGACCAGCAGUGGCAAUGUGACUUGAACUUGAGAGUAGAUGAAGAGUCUUAUCCUGAGUUAUUCUCUUGAGGUAUGUUUUCGAGGACGAAACUCUUUAGUGGGGAGAGUUGUAACACCCGAUAAAAAAUAAGAUAAUUAUUUAAAUUAAUUAAUAUAUAUUUAUUAAUUUAAUUAAGUAAUUGGAAUUAUUUGGAUAUUAUUAUUAAUAAUUUUGAAAAGUAUAUAAGUGGGAAAUAAGAAAAAGAGUUUUUUUGUUGGUAAGAAGGGUAUUUUUUACGUGAAAAGCAGAGAAACGACUGAAAAGAGUGGAAAAGGGCAAAGGAGGAAGAGCAAGAAGCAAAGUUGGAGAAUAGAAGAGCCUUGAGCUAAAGACUUGCCGGAUUAAUUCGGUAAAGGGGGGUUUAUCGUCGUUUAUGUAUUAUGGGUUAACAUGUAAUCGGUAGUGAUAACCGUUGAUUGACCCUAAUUGGAUUGGUGAAUGCGAAAACAUUGCUGUUGGCUAAGUUGUGUUAAAGCUGUAAUUUGAAUCUGUAUCGAGUGAUGUUUGUGAUUUUCGCGAAGCGGUAAGCGCUUUACGAAAUUGGAAUGCGGAGGUCCGGAACUCUCCGAACGCGGAAAAUGCGGAGAAUUCUGCAAUUCUGCUUCGUGUUAGGCAGGAACAGUCUUUCGUCUUCGCGUUAACCGGGUUAACCCAGGGUGUUAAGCCGUUAACAAACUGUUCUCCGAAUUGUGAAAAUUGUUGUUUGUGUCUGCGUUAACGCGGUUUACACCCAGGGUGUUAAACCGGUACACUAUUCGUGUGUUUGUGAGAUUGUUGUUCCUGAUGUGGCGUUAACCGUUAACCCAGGGCCGUUAACCGGUUAACACUGUCUGAGUUUUGCCAGAAAGCGUGUUCUUGUCUGGCGUUAACCGGUUAACCGCAGGGCGUUAACCGUUAACACUGUUGGAAACUGAAAAAGAUUGUAUGUUGUCUUGCAUUAAGCGGAUUAACCCAGGGCGUUACCCGGGGUUAAAGCGGUUGGAAAGUGAAAAUCUGAAUUUGCUCGGAAUUUAAUGAAAUUCGUCGGCGUGAGUCGGGUAAGUAUUAUAGUUAAUUUUGAUGAGUAAUUUGUUGGGUUUAUGUAUAAAGUGUCGAUACAAGUUAUGACUGAGUUGUUAAUUGUUCCGGGUACGAAAAGUUGUUCAAGAUACUGAGUUUGUAAGCUUGCGUAGACAAAGUUGAUUAUAGUUGAUUAUGUUGAAAACUGGUUGUGUUGCUAUUAUUAUUGAUGUUGUCGCGAAAUUUUAAAUCGUGUAUUGGCCAUGUAACAUUCAUAAUGCAUUAGAUCGGAGCUUUGGCUCACACACGUUGGCCUGGAUUGGAAAAGUUGAAAGUUGACGGCUUAAGCUUGAUGCCUCGUUAAAUUGGCAAAUUUAAGUUGGGAGUUUUACUCCCGAUUGGUACCACAUGCAUGACGAGUCGAGUCUCAUUUGAGUUGCAUUUUUGUUGGUAUUGAGUAUGAUUUGAGAUUUACAUGUGUUUGCGUUGGUAUUGAGUAUGAUCUUUGAGUUGAUGUGGCCGUACUUGAAUGCGUGAUGUGAUAGGGUGAUUAAUGUGUGAAUUUACUUAGCAUACAUGAUGAUUUAUAAUGCUUAUUAUAUCGAUUGAGGAACUCACCCUUACAACUAUUUUCAGGUACGAGCAGUGAUUGAGUAAAACUAGUGCUUGGAGUCUAGUGUAGUCUCCUUAGUGGGUCAUGGCUCUGAUAGAUGUAACAUCGGGACGGGAUGUUUUACCUUGUUGAAUAUUUACAUGUAAUGUGUUACAUAUUUUGAAUGAUCGAUUUGAUCUCUAUCCGCUGCGUAUUGUGCAAUGUUUUAUGUUUUGAUAUAAUAAAAGAGCAUGACAGUUAUUAUGGUGAAAUGGUUGUGUGACACCCUUAGUUGCAUAUUUACUCUCUGAUUGAUAUAUUGUUAUUAAAUUAAAUAUUUGGGGUAUUUUAGAAGGGUGUUACAAGGGAAGGGUAGUGUUCAAGUUAAUCUGACUAUGCAUUCAAAUUACAAGAAUGAAAUAUCCAGUAUGUGGAUCAACUACAUGCCAUUCUUCCGCACACAUCCUAAAGUGUCGAAGGAACUUGAAAAAUCAAAAGUUAUGACCGGUUGUUCUUCAAUGACCAAUGACUUGGCAGUCACAUUCUAAAAAGGGAAUCCAAUAAAAAGCCUGCUAAGUCGAUUACCCCCAAAAAGAGACUUAGGCAAAACACGGGAAAUCCCGAUGGGCUAAGCUNNNNNNNNNNNNNNNNNNNNNNNNNGGAAAAUACAAAAGUUUCAUUUAGUAAAGAGGGUUUGACCUGAAAAGCAGAAUAAGCGCUGAAAAGGAAAAGGGCAAGAGACAGAGACAAGAGGAAAAGGUGAGAAGAGAAAAGCUGAGAAGCUUAAAGUCAAAAAGCGGUCCAUGCAAAAGUUAGGGAUCAAAACAAAAAUCAAAGGAGGUCACGAAAACCCUCAACAAAAUAAAAACAAGAUUUAGUGACCACCAUAUCAAGAAUCAAAGGGUCACCAAUAUCCUUGAAGAGCAAAAUAAAGUGUCUAUCAUUUCAAGAGAUCUUACACCUGCAAACUCUCUUAAAAGUUGAAUGUGUAUGGUGAAUUAACUGAGCGUAGGACUGGAGUUUAUCAAGAAGAAGGGUGGGUACAGAGACAAUUUUGAGCCUCAUAUCCUUUGUUUUGAUAACCGUGAACCAGGCCAUGUUACAACCCUUAAAAGACCUAAUUGAAGCAAGGUUUAUUCUGAAAGCAUACUACAACAAGGUUGCAUAAACUGACUCCUAAAAAUUUCUAAUCUUUUACUUUGGUACAAUCUUCUUAUUGUAUCCUUCGCAUUGUUAAAUCAUCAUUGUGUUUGGAUUAAAAUGGUUCAUUCACCACACACUAUCACAUCAUUUCAAUAAUAAUUCUUUUCAAAACUUGCAUGAGUAUCGCAUUAAAAUUACCAUUUCUGAACAAACAAUUUUAACUGCAAGACAAUACUUGAUGUCAGGGAAAUUCCAACAAUAAGGAACAAUCAGAGGAACUUGGUGUAACACCUAAAAUUUGCACCCCCCAUUCAUGCAUUCAUUUCAUUUUUAGGUCAUUAACAUUGCAUCUUGCAUUGCAUCAUUGCAUUCAGAACUGGCACCAAGAGAAUUCACCAGUGCAAGAGACCAAGAAUUUCCUUGCUAUGGAGGCCACAUGAAUAUCCUAGAGAGCUUACAUGAAUCAAGAUUCAUUUUGAAGUAACUUGACCAAGUGUCAGAGGCUCAAAGUCAUCAGUGUGUUGCCAAGUCAUCUGGGCCCCAUAAAAGUCAACUGAAAGUCAACUGAAGGCUAGGAGGUGGAGAAAUGGUUUGAGACACUUCAUUCAUGUCCAAGGGAGGCUUAUUCAUCAUGUCAAACACUUAUCUUGAAGGAUUUGAAGCCGGAUCAAAAGUUUCCAAAAAUGGAAAGUGACCUGUAACUAAAAGUUUCCAAAAAUGGCAAGUUUUUGGACCAAUUUCAACUUGACUUUCCAACAUCAAAGAGGCUUCAAAUGAAAUUUUUUCCAACAUGAAAGUUGAAUAUCUUUCUCUCCUAUUUCCAAAAAGUCCAAGAUCAUGAGCAUCUGAUGAAUGGUUAAGGAAUUAUGAUCAAAUGAUUGCAAAGUGUGCUUGAAACUUCAAAGAGCCAUAACUUUUGAUCUAAAACUCCAAAUGGAGUGCCUCUUUUUGCAUUAUGCUCCUCAUGACAUAUAUUUUCCAAAUCAUUCAUUACAUGGCAUGAAAUUUAUUCACAUAAUCAUUUGGCCAUACAUGUGAUUUUUGGAGGGAAAACCAUGAAUUUAAAAUUGGUACAUCAUAUGAGUUUUUUAACCAUUCCAACAUGUGCAUGGGUUGAUUUUAAGAGUAUUUGAAUGGUGCGUGUGCACUGUUCAUGUGGGAUUGCCAUGCAUAAGGUGAAAUUGCAAUUUGGUCAUACACCUCUUUUCUUCCUAAUCUUUCAUUAGCCUUGGCCUAAUGACAAUAUCAGAGUAAUUAGGAGAGCAUAUAAAAGCUUAAUGGUAACUGUUUUAUUCAUUACACACAUAUUUUCAGAUCUAGAAUCCUCUUUUACUCUCAAUUUUCACUCUCUUGAUUUCUCAAAAUUUUGCACACAACACCUUAAUCUUCUUGCAUAAUCAUGAGUAUGGAGUGUUACUGAGCAAGAUUCAACGUGUACUUGGUGGAAUUCAUCUCAAAUUCGUGCAUACCACAAGCUUGAAGGCAUUAAUGGAAGCUCCAAAUUGAGAUUGAUUCAGGUCUUUUCACGUGCUAGUUCUUGCAUCCAACUUCAGUGGAGCUCAAAGGAAGUGAAUCUGGAAAGCUGGGAGCAUUGAGGACACGGUUUUGGUCAUUGCUCUUCAAACAAGGUGAGUUUCGACCUUCAUUUUUCUCUAUUUUAUUGCCAUAGUAUUAUAGAUCUUGGCUCACUGAUCACGCUGAUAUGAACAUUUUUGAAAAUGGUUGAGAAUUGGUUGAGUAAUCUGGAUUUAAAGUUUGAAUGUCAAGAUGUGUUUUCGUUCGAUUUGCAUGAUUCAUAGAGUUUUAAGCCAAAAUAAUGGUGGAUUCUUGUUCUACUCAUCGUGACGGUUCCAACCAUAUGUGUAUUGCCAAUUUCUGCAAAAAAAUUAUGAUGAAGCUACUGUGCAGCCACCGUCUUGUUGAAGAAGACGGUGGAAACCACCUUAGGCCACCGCGUGGGAAUAGUAUGAGCGCCGUCUGGUUAUUCAUGUUAGGGUUUGUCCAGUGGCCUCCACGUGCAGGCCAACGUAGCAAAACCAUUGGCUGAGGCUCGUUGGAUUCGCUCGCGUGGCUGUUGACUAGCUGAGUUGGCACGCCAACUCAUUAAGUGGAGUGAUGCGUUUUGGACGCUCCUCACUUCGAUUCUUGGCUCCGGCAUAUUCCAAUUUUGUUUUCUCCAGCGCCUUACAUUUUCAUAUAUACAUGGUUCGAGUCCUAGUUGUGGCAUUCCAUUUUUUUCUCAUUUUCAUUAACAUUUUCCAUUUCUUUUCAACAUUAUUUCAUUAUUUUCAUGUUAAUUCAAAAAAAUCAUAGAAAAUUGAAAACAAGUCCAAAUUGAAUGCAAUUUUUUGCUACAUGAUCCUUGUGAUGUCUAGUAUUUUUUAAUGUGAUUUUCCUGAUUUUAGCACUUCUAGAUUUUUGAUUGAGCUUGAGUAUUUGAGUAUGGUACAAAAUGUGAUAUGUUAUGCCAUUUGACUUGUGAAAUACUCAUACUUUCUCCAUUUGCCAUGAAAUUUUGUAUGCUGAAUCCUAACACAUAACAUGACUUUUGAGGCUUGGUUGUGCAUUUUUAGCAUUUGUCAUUUCUGUUUUAGGCACAUGAAUUUAGGGUAUGACAAUGUGUGUCACACAUUUGGAUGUUGAUCUUAUUCAUUUUCAUUCCUAGGUCAAUUGAUGUCCUCUGUUUCCAAUUUUUUGCAUGAUGAUUGUGUUUAAUAUGUUGAGCUUGCACAAAAAGUUUCAUGAUUAUUGGAUGGUUUCUGAUUUAAUGUGCAUUUUCUCUUUGAUGCUCAGUGUGACCACCAUUGUGUGCCUUUGCCCUAGCUUGAUUGAUUGAUGGCCUUGCCUUGGAUUUGAGUUUGGUACUUUUAUGACACGUUCUUACUUGAAUAAAUGUGCUUCAUGUGGAAAAUCAACCUCUGUUUUACUUUUUGCUUUGCCUUUGACCCUAUCUUUGAACUAGUGUGUUGUACUCACCUUUUGAGUUUUGCAUUUCAGAUUCAAGCAAUUAGUUCUAAUGGAUGAUGUGAUCUCAUUCCAUGAGAUACAAGUUACUUUGUUAACUAACCUUGCUGUUUUGUAGGUCCUUUGAAUGAUGAACAAUUUGAGUUGCUUGCAUCUUAUGCCUUGCACUGUUGUUGUCUGUUGAUUGGUGGUAACACUGUUGUUGAAUGUUUGGUUGUCUGAAUACCAUAUUGACUUGUUUGACUUUCUUACAGGUACUUUAGUUGCUUUAACUCAUUGCUUGAGUUUGCUUUGCUUUGCUUGUGGUUGGCAUACCACCUAGGUAACCUCUCUAACUUCAUGUAGUCUGGAAGACCUGCUAUCUUUGGCAGGCACCUGUCUGAAGCCCUCCUUAAGAGGCAAUGUUUGUGGUUGUUUAUGUUCGUGUUAUGUACUUCCAAGACCUCCUAAGUGAAGAGGCAUUGGCAGAUAAAAGGGAUGUGCAAUCCAUCCCCUACUAUUCAGUUGAGUCUUUCAUCUUGCUCGCACUACGUGCUGAUGUAUUUUGAAUAAACACCCAAGAUCCUUGUCUAUAGAGUCAGUCAAGUGGAGUAGAGUCCCGCAUUCUGGACUCUCACACCUUCAUUGAUUUGAAGCUCACCCAGACCCGGGUUAAGAGCUAUGAGGUCUUACCCUCAUUACCUUUCAUCUGCUCACCCUGACGGUCAAUGUCAGUGGUUAAGAGCCCUCGGUCACCCCUUCCAGUGUUGGCUUGUUUGUCGAGGUUGAUACGACCCCUUGAAUAAAGCCCAGCCUUGUAUGAGCCACUUGUUUGCAUAUAGCGUGUGUUGCUUGAUUGCUUGUUUACUUAGCAUGUUUGUUUGUUUAUGGAGUCGGAUGUAAGACCAGCGAUUGGCUUUCUGUUUCCCAUCUAUUUUUGGAGUUGGAUGUAAGCCCAGUGAUUGGCAUUCCAUUUCCAGUUUUUGAUCUCUCUUGAGACUUGCUUGUUGUUUCCCCAUAGGUUUGCUAGACUUCGUAUAGUCUCUCGUUUGCAUGUCAAUUAAGGUAGCACGGUUCCUUCGUCUAGGACUUCCUUUCUUGCGUGAGCUUUCCUAAAACACAAACAAACAUUACCUUCCCUUAAGAACACAUUAACUCCUUCUAAUUCAGGUGAGUAAGUCUCCAAAGGUCGAGCAUCCGGUAGAUUGCGUAGUAACGUCGUUCACUUAAAAAACACAAACCAAAUAGAAAUAGUUUAGCCAAACUACGGCAACUCUGAUUCUCAUGUCCAGAUGAGAUACGUAGGCACGAGAUGCGAUGUCUUGUCGAGUUUGACUAACAACUAACUUUGAUCCUUUAUGUUCUCUCGCCCUCGUUGCGAUUGAGACCUUCCCUUUCUCUUGCCCUAGUUGCAAUCGAGACCCUCCUUCUUCUUGUGUGUGCUUGGAGUCUGAUGUAAGUCCAGCGAUUGGAAUUCGGUUUCCUAUUUGCGUUUGUUUGUUCAGAGUCUGAUGUAAGUCCAGCGAUUGGCAUUCGGUUUCCCGGUUGUGUUUGUUUGUUUAGAGUCUGAUGUAAGCCCAACGAUUGGCCUUCGGUUUCCAAUUUGUUUGUGUGAGUUCGGAGUCAGAUGUAAGACCAUUGAUUGGCUAUCUAUUUCCUAUUUCUUUUGUGGAGUCGGAUGUAAGCCCAGCGAUUGGCAUUCCGUUUCCAGUUUGUGUUUGGGUGUUUGCUCUGACGUCUCAGCGUCUCCGUUUAGCGUUUUGUUUGGCGUGCGUUAGCCGAGCUACGAGUGCUCUGAUUCUUCCUCUGGUUAGAGAAGAUAUGUAUGCAUAGGAUGCGAUAGUGUUUGGGUGUUUGCUCUGACGUCUCAGCGUCUCCGUUUAGCGUUUUGUUUGGCGUGCGUUAGCCGAGCUACGAGUGCUCUGAUUCUUCCUCUGGUUAGAGAAGAUAUGUAUGCAUAGGAUGCGAUGUCCUAGCGAGCACGUUUCCCGUAUCCCCGAACUACGUCGACUCUGAUGUUUGUGUCCGACAAACUACGUAGGCCCAGGAUGCGACAUCCUGCCGAGUCCGCUUUCUCCGUCUUCCUUCACUCCGUGUUUUAUUCCGGUUUUGUGCAGUUUUGAGCAGUUAUCUAGCAACCUUAUUCUAUUCUUUUUGAGCGUGGAUCCCGUCGAGUACGACGGACGUGAGGGGGUGCUAAUACCUUCCCCUUGCGUAACCGACUCCCGAUCCUUGCAACCUCUGGUCGUAAGACCAUUUCCUUUCCAGGUUUACUUCGAGCGUUUCCUUUCCCUCCUUUGGGAUAAAUAACGCAUGGUGGCGGCUCUGUGUCUUUUUUCCCGCCGGUUUUUCGCGUAAUGCGACACUUGGACAUUCGUUGGUGCUGACCCGAAUCAAGACUACCUCACAACCUAUGAAUCCGAGACAUGCAACCUAAACAUCAGUUGGUCAUAGGAAGAUUACUCCAAGAAUUGGUCAGCUUGAAACAGUCCCCUAACAUCUGUUAAUAAAUGUGCAAAUCGUUUCAAGAAUCAGUUGAUCCAGAGCAAAUCAUCUCAGGACUCUAUUAACUAGAGGCAGACCACCUAGAGGUUUUGUGGGCCAGGGGCAGACCCCUUCAAUGUUCAGUCAAGGUGAGUUAAGUCGCUUCAACGCUCAUAUUGGGGAAAGCUACCUCAAAAGUAUAGAAAAGUAAACCACUCUGAGAGUCGGUUAAUCAAAGAAAAAUAUUUUCAUGACUUUAAAUUUUGGGGCAAGCCGUCUCCAAAUUAUGGUACAAUUGCUUUCAGAAUCCUUUCGAGGUAAACAUUUUGCAUAGACCCAUCACAUUGGGGCAAGAUGAGCCAUACAGGAGCGAGUCCUCUCCAUGUUUCAAGCAGUUCAAGCAAAAGCUUUUUCGCAAAUCAGCAAAUGCAGAGUUCAAGAUGAGUGUCGAGGAAUCAUGCUAUCACCCCCAUCCAAUAACCUUUUGGCAGCCAAAAGCCUUUCUAUAAAGAACCUUCUCUUCCAAUAUCCAUGCAGGGGCAUUUUGAAAGCCUUCAAAUCAUUGCAUAAAGCAUCCUCAUGCAUUAGUCAUGUCACUUUACUCUAAGAUAAAACCAUGCAUAUCAUAAAAUUCAUCGAGUCUAACCCCAUAACAUGAACCUGGCAUCAAAAAGCCUUGAAACACAAAAUUUGACACCAAAGCCCAACAUCGCUUGGCCAUUUCAAAGUCCAGUUCUCAUCUGGCAAUUUAUUUCAAAAACCAGUUCCCAUCUGGCAACUUUAUUUCAAAGUCCAAUUCCUGUCUGACAACUUAUUUCAAAAGCCUAGUUCCCGUCUGGCAAACCUUUUAAAAAAAACCAGUUCCCUUCUGGCAAUUUAUUUCAAAGCCCAGUUCUCGUCUGACAAUUUAUUUCAAAGUCCAGUUCUCGUCUGGCAACUUAUUCCAAAGUCCAGUUCCCGUCUAGAAAACUAUAUCAAAAAUCAGUUCUUGUACGACAAAUCAUUUGCCAAAUACUAGUUCUCGUCUGGUAAAUUAUCUCUUAAUAUCAGUUCUCGUCUGGUAAAUUAUCUCUUAAUACCAGUUCUCGUAUGGUAAAUUAUCUCUUAAUACCAGUUCUCGUCUGGUAAAUUAUCUCUUAAUAUCAGUUCUCAUCUGGUAAAUUAUCUCUUAAUACCAGUUCUCGUCUGGUAAAUUAUCUCUUAAUACCAGUUCUCGUCUGGUAAAUUAUCUCUUAAUACCAGUUCUCGUCUGGUAAAUUAUCUCUUAAUACCAGUUCUCGUCUGGUAAAUUAUCUCUUAAUACCAGUUCUCGUCUGGUAGGUCACCUAUUUCGAUACCAGUUCUCGUCUGGUAGUCAAUUAUUUCCACCAGUUCUCGUCUGGUAGCCUACUUUAAAAAUCAGUCCAUGUCUGAUAAACAAAAACAAAUUCGGUCUCGUCUGACAUUUCAAUUAUUUUCACCAGUUCGCGUCUGGUAACAUAUCCUUCAAGUGUUGUCCUCAUCUGGCAGUUCAAUCUCCUUCACCAGUUCUCAUUUGUCAGUUCCCAUUUAAAGUCCAACCUCAUUGGCAAUCAAGAAUUAAACCCUACAAAAACAUCCAAUUACCCAGUUGCAUUCCCACAUGCAUCACACGAAUCAUCCAUAAAUGGUUUUCCUACCAAACAAAAAAUUCAAAAAAACACAGUCAUAUCAAUCAUCAGCAUACUUAUGCAUAACCUUAUACAUCAAAAAAAUCAUUUACAUUCUCAUACACAGCCAAAUAUCCCCAGCAAUUGCAUACUUACAUGCAUCUCAUGCAUCAUUCCAUGCAUGGUAUUCCCACCCAAAGUGGAACAUCGACAAAACUUAAGAUAUCAGGAUCCAGGGUCAUUCAUGUAUAUCUUAUACAUUCCUCAUUUCCAAAUAAAGUUAUUACCCUGCAUGUGCUCGUGGAGUCAUUUUCCAGUAAGCCGUUUUUUCAACUUUAUGAUUGAUAAUGAUAUUCCCAGCAUUUUUCUUUACAAUCAUUGCUCCCCAAGCAGAGGUUACCCUAAAAAGUCUCUUAUGAGCUUUUUCCCCUGCAGAGCAUUUCUAGUAAAUCUCCCUCAAAAGGAGUCUUUUCAAAAAAUUCCCCGAACAGACGAAUAUUCGAGAUAUUGCUUCAUUUAUCUGGAGAAUCUCAUUUUUUCUGUUUGAGAUGCUGCUUCAUCAAUAUGAAGAGUCUCAUUUCAGAUUUUUUUAGAGAUACUGCUCUAAUAUCCUCGGAGAGUCUUAGAUUCAAUUAAGGUAUCUUUCCCUUGCUGGAAUAUCUUAAUAGUCUCAUUUCAGAUUUUUUUAGAGAUACUGCUCUAAUAUCCUCGGAGAGUCUUAGAUUCAAUUAAGGUAUCUUUCCCUUGCUGGAAUAUCUUAAUUCUAUCAUAUAAGAUGCUGUUUCGACUCGAUAUAGAGAACCUCACUUUUACUGUUUGAGAUGCUGCUUCAUCAAUAUGAAGAGUCUCAUUUCAGAUUUUUUAGAGAUACUGCUCUAAUAUCCUCGGAGAGUCUUAGAUUCAAUUAAGAUAUUUUUUCCCUUGCUGGAACAUCUUAAUUCUAUCAUAUAAGAUGCUGUUUCGACUCGAUAUAGAGAAUCUCACUUUUACAAUUUGAGAUGCUGCUUCAUCAAUAUGAAGAGUCUCAUUUCAGAUUUUUUUUAGAGAUACUGCUCUAAGUAUCCUCGGAGAGUCUUAGAUUCAAUUAAGGUAUUUUUUUUCCCUUGCUGGAAUAUCUUAAUUCUAUCAUAUAAGAUGAUGUUUCAACUCGAUACAAAGAAUCUCAUUUUUACUAUUUGAGACGCUGCUUCAUCAAUAUGAAGAGUCUCAUUUCAGAUUUUUUUAGAGAUACUGCUCUAAUAUCCUCGGAGAGUCUUAGAUUCAAUUAAGAUAUUUUUCCCUUGCUGGAACAUCUUAAUUAUAUCAUAUAAGAUGUUGUUUCGACUCGAUACAGAGAAUCUCACUUUUACUGUUUGAGAUGCUGCUUCAUCAAUAUGAAGAGUCUCAUUUCAGAUUUUUUUUAGAGAUACUGCUCUAAGUAUCCUCGGAGAGUCUUAGAUUCAAUUAAGGUAUUUUUUUCCUUGCUGGAAUAUCUUAAUUCUAUCAUAUAAGAUGUUGUUUCGACUCGAUAGAGAGAAUCUCAUUUUUACUGUUUGAGAUACUGGUUCAUCAAUUUGAAGAGUCUCAUUUCAGAUUUUUUUAGAGAUACUGCUCUAGUAUACUUGAAGAGUCUUAGAUUCAAUUAAGGUAUCAUUCCCUUGUUCAGAAUAUCUUAAUUCUAUCAUAUAAGAUGCUGCUUCGAUUCGAUACAGAGAAUCUCAUUUUGUUGUUCGAGGUGUUGCUUCAUCAAUAUGAAGAGUCUCAUUCAUUUUUAGAGAUACUGCUUUAGUAUCCUUGAAGAGUCUUAGAUACGAUUGAGGUAUCAUUCCCUUGUCAGAAUAUCUCGAUUAUAUCAUAUGGGAUACUGCUUCAUUGAUACCUAGAAAAUCUCAUGUGUUCAAAUCAAGACGCUGUUCUGCUAAUGCUUGGAAAGUCUUAGGUACAGUUGAGGUAUCAUUCCAUUGUUGAAAAAUCUCAGCCGUGAUAUCCAAGAUACUGUUCUGACGAUUCCCAGAGAGUCUUAACUAUUUCAUUUUACCUUCUGAUAACCUUUUCUUACUGUAUUUCUCACUGCAUUUUGUGUCUGCAUUUCUUCCUUGCUUUUCAAAGGACAAAAUUUGGGUCUUUUCAUAUUUAAUUACCUUCUUCCACUACGAAUGUAUGAAGACUGUUGUCAUUCUUACCUUCUAGUUCAAGAUAAUGAAAUAGGGGCAGCUGUCAUACCCCAAUUUUGUUCGGGCAUUUUAAAUUUUCAUAAAUUCGAUUUAAUUUUCAGUUUACAUCAUAUGUACAGCAUAACAUGCAUUUUAUCAUUAAUAAUACCUGAAAUAUCAGUCAAUUUUCAUAAAUUCGAUUUAAUUUUCAGUUUACAUCAUAUGUACAGCAUAACAUGCAUUUUAUCAUUAAUAAUACCUGAAAUAUCAGUCAGGAUAAAUUUAUUGAAAAUACAGACAAAUCAGUUGAAUCUUUCCUCAAGUACGGACAAAAUCAGCAGAUAAAAAGUUUCAAAUUUAAAAUUGCAGACACCAGUAUUAUUAACCUACGGUUCAUGUAGUUUAAACUAGUGUCCCCGUUAUAUUUUUCAGCGACUGUUUCGGUUGCAUUUUGACCCGCCGGACACUUUUAACCGGUGCAAAUCUAUUUCAAAAUUUAACGAAAUGCUGUAUUUUUUUAAUAAGUAUAUUUUGUGCUGAUCAUUUUAGUGUGCCCGAUUUAAUUUUUCGAGCAAAUUUAUAUUUGGUCCCUAUUUAUAAUCGGUCACUAUUUUUUUGGUUUAGUUAUUUAAUUAAAGUAAUCAGAAUUUUUUUAAAAUCAAAUAUUGAUUAGAAAUUUUAUAUAUUUCCUUAAAUAAAUAAUAAUUGUUUGAAAAUAAAUAAAUAUCAACAUUGGAUUCCUAUCUUCUUUUUACAGCUCAUGUCUCUCUCAUCACUCUCCCUCACGUUUCCUAUCUCUCUCACGUUUCCUCUCUCUCACACAUUACCCUCAUUUCCAUCAUCACUCUCCAUCAACGUCUAUCUGCUACAAUAGAAAGCAAAUGAAAAGAAAAAGACUGACUGCUCUCUCUCUCAAAAAGAAGAAAAAGAAAACUAAAAAGAGAGGACAAUAAAAAGAAUCCCCACUCCCUUUCCUCAACAACUCCCUCGCCACUACAACCGCCGGCAAACCCAACCUCCACAACAUCACUCCACUACAUCCAUACAACCUUCACGCACAGUUCCAUCUUCAAACCUCCAUCACCCUCACAACCACCUCCUUUGCUCACUUCCCUCCCUCCACCUUCCAUUGACGUCACGAAUUCCAUCACCUUCUUCAACGUCUUCUCCCCACUCAUCCACCAC
rnacentral:lncRNA from 1 species